rnacentral:rRNA from 1 species
GAUGAACGCUAGCUACAGGCUUAACACAUGCAAGUCGAGGGGAAACGAUAUUGGAAGCUUGCUUCUGAUAGGCGUCGACCGGCGCACGGGUGAGUAACGCGUAUCCAACCUGCCCAUCACUUGGGGAUAACCUUGUGAAAGUAAGACUAAUACCCAAUGACGUCUCUAGAAGACAUCUGAAAGAGAUUAAAGAUUUAUCGGUGAUGGAUGGGGAUGCGUCUGAUUAGCUUGUUGGCGGGGUAACGGCCCACCAAGGCGACGAUCAGUAGGGGUUCUGAGAGGAAGGUCCCCACAUUGGAACUGAGGCACGGUCCAAACUCCUACGGGAGGCAGCAGUGAGGAAUAUUGGUCAAUGGACGAGAGUCUGAACCAGCCAAGUAGCGUGCAGGAUGACGGCCCUAUGGGUUGUAAACUGCUUUUAUAAGGGAAUAAAGUGGGAGUCGUGACUCUUUUUGCAUGUACCUUAUGAAUAAGGACCGGCUAAUCCGUGCCAGCAGCCG